CAUAGGCGGAGGAAAAGAAACUAACAAGGAUUCCCCUAGUAACUGCGAGUGAAGCGGGAAAAGCUCAAAUUUGAAAUCUGGCGGUCCUUGGCCGUCCGAGUUGUAAUCUAGAGAAGUGUUACCCGCGCUGGACCGUGUACAAGUCUCCUGGAAUGGAGCGUCAUAGAGGGUGAGAAUCCCGUCUCUGACACGGACUACCAGGGCUUUGUGGUAUGCUCUCAAAGAGUCGAGUUGUUUGGGAAUGCAGCUCAAAAUGGGUGGUAAAUUCCAUCUAAAGCUAAAUAUUGGCGAGAGACCGAUAGCGAACAAGUACCGUGAGGGAAAGAUGAAAAGAACUUUGGAAAGAGAGUUAAACAGUACGUGAAAUUGCUGAAAGGGAAACGCUUGAAGUCAGUCGCGUUGGCCGGGGAUCAGCCUCGCAUUUGCGUGGUGCACUUUCCGGUUGACGGGUCAGCAUCAAUUUCGACCGCUGGAAAAAGUCCUGAGGAAUGUGGCAGCUCCGGCUGUGUUAUAGCCUCUGGUCGCAUACAGUGGUUGGGAUUGAGGAACUCAGCACGCCGCAAGGCCGGGUUUCGACCACGUCCGUGCUUAGGAUGCUGGCAUAAUGGCUUUAAGCGACCCGUCUUGAAACACGGACCAAGGAGUCUAACAUGCCUGCGAGUGUUUGGGUGGAAAACCCGAGCGCGUAAUGAAAGUGAAAGUUGAGAUCCCUGUCGUGGGGAGCAUCGACGCCCGGACCAGAACUUUUGGGACGGAUCCGCGGUAGAGCAUGUAUGUUGGGACCCGAAAGAUGGUGAACUAUGCCUGAAUAGGGUGAAGCCAGAGGAAACUCUGGUGGAGGCUCGUAGCGAUUCUGACGUGCAAAUCGAUCGUCAAAUUUGGGUAUAGGGGCGAAAGACUAAUCGAACCAUCUAGUAGCUGGGUCUGC
rnacentral:rRNA from 1 species